ACUCGCUCUCGGCUCCUCGCUCCCCUUCCCCAAAACAACUUUCUCUUCCGGGGUCAGGCAGGACCGCCCCCCGAAGCGUACCUUGCGCGUCCUGGGCGCCCGAAGCUACGAGAUUCGGUGUGGUUUUGAGGUGCCCUGGCCACCAGCGGCUUCAGAAGUGAGCCGGCUGCCCUCAGCCCCGCACCGCGUCGGGGCCCCGACCGUGCCCUCUGGUCCGCGGGCACCGCCUGCAGGCUGUGUAACCUGGGCGCACCUCUUCAGGAAUCAUUGUUUAUACACUGAGUCAGAGGAAGUCCCUCUCCCCAUACCAACAAAAGCAUAGGAGUUAGAAUCUGUAAGAUUCUCAUUGGCGUGGAUGCACCCCGUCAGGAGUCCAAAUGCAAAAACGAGGUCGCAAAGAAUAGAGAGCCGAGAACCAUUUUGUGUAUGUGCGGCCGAAGCGAGCACAGCGGAGAACCAUUUUAGAAUCCUGUACUUGUCAUCCAGUUCUGAUAGCCGGUGAGUUUCGGGUCCUAAUGAGGCUGAUGACACCAAGUGAGGCUGAAUUCCCCUGUGAACUUCUUUAUUUUCUGGAGCUGCGAUCUGACCUCUCACUCACUCUACCUUUGACAUGGGUGAAAGAAUCAGGGAA